rnacentral:misc_RNA from 1 species
UCCGAGUUAGCCCCGGCAGUCUUCUACGAGUCCCCGCCAUUACGCGCUGGCAACAUAGAACAAGGGUUGCGCUCGUUGCGGGACUUAACCCAACAUCUCACGACACGAGCUGACAACAGCCAUGCACCACCUGUGUACCGACCACAAGGGGGGCCGUAUCUCUACGGCUUUCCGGUAUAUGUCAAACCCAGGUAAGGUUCUUCGCGUUGCAUCGAAUUAAUCCACAUGCUCCGCCGCUUGUGCGGGCCCCCGUCAAUUCCUUUGAGUUUUAGCCUUGCGGCCGUACUCCCCAGGCGGGGCGCUUAAUGCGUUAGCUACGGCACAGAACCGAAAACCGGCCCCACACCUAGCGCCCACCGUUUACAGCAUGGACUAC